AUUGAACGCUGGCGGCAUGCCUUACACAUGCAAGUCGAACGGCAGCACGGACUUCGGUCUGGUGGCGAGUGGCGAACGGGUGAGUAAUAUAUCGGAACAUACCUUGUAGUGGGGGAUAACUAUCCGAAAGGAUAGCUAAUACCGCAUACGCUCUAAGGAGGAAAGCGGGGGAUCGUAAGACCUCGUGCUAUAAGAGUGGCCGAUAUCUGAUUAGCUAGUUGGUGAGGUAAAGGCUCACCAAGGCGAAGAUCAGUAGCUGGUCUGAGAGGACGACCAGCCACACUGGAACUGAGACACGGGCCAGACUCCUACGGGGGGCGGCGGUGGGGAGUUUUGGAAAAUGGGGGCAACCCUGAUCCAGCAAUGCCGCGUGAGUGAAGAAGGCCUUCGGGUUGUAAAGCUCUUUUGUCAGGGAAGAAACGGUUGUGGCUAAUAUCCAUGGCUAAUGACGGUACCUGAAGAAUAAGCACCGGCUAACUACGUGCCAGCAGCCGCCGUAACAC
rnacentral:rRNA from 1 species